AUUGAACGCUGGCGGCAGGCCUAACACAUGCAAGUCGAACGGUAACAGGAAGCAGCUUGCUGCUUCGCUGACGAGUGGCGGACGGGUGUGUAAUGUCUGGGAAACUGCCUGAUGGAGGGGGAUAACUCCUGGAAACGGUAGCUAAUACCGCAUAACGUUGCAAGACCAAAGAGGGGGACCUUAGGGCCUCUUGCCAUCGGAUGUGCCCAGAUGGGAUUAGCUAGUAGGUGGGGUAACGGCUCACCUAGGCGACGAUCCCUAGCUGGUCUGAGAGGAUGACCAGCCACACUGGAACUGAGACACGGUCCAGACUCCUACGGGAGGCAGCAGUAGGGAAUAUUGCACAAUGGGCGCAAGCCUGAUGCAGCCAUGCCGCGUGUAUGAAGAAGGCCUUCGGGUUGUAAAGUACUGUCAGCGGGGAGGAAGGGAGUAAAGUUAAUACCUGUACUCAUUGACGUUACCCGCAGAAGAAGCACCGGCUAACUCCGUG
rnacentral:rRNA from 1 species